GCCCUCCCACCAAGACGAGGCGCGCGCACCAGCAACCAGGGCCCGCUGGCGCCGCCCCGGGUUUCCGCUCCGGGGCUCGUCGGUCGCCGUUCGGUUCCGGUUCUGGCCCCGCCCUCACGCGGGAACCCUCCAGAAGUCUUAAUAUCCGGGACCAGAGGCUGGUUGCAGCGCACAUUUCCGGCAACGAGCGCAAAGGAAGGGAUCCGGUGACGCCUCUUCCCGUCUCCCCAGCGGCCCAGGCUCUGGCUCUCGGUGCGGCAGCGCCAUCUGGUGCCGAGUCUCCCGCCACCCGCGGAGGUGGCACGCGCCCUUCUCUCGGAACCUUCCAGAGAAACCGUGGCCCCUGCUUUCCUUUCUCCCGCCCUGGACGGGGAGGGACCCGAGUCUCCGCCCCGCCGAGUUCCCGCGCGGGAGGGACUUUGUGGCGACUCUGAAGCGGAAGCUGCCUGUAGGAGGAGCUUUACAAACCCAAAAUGGAGCGGAAACUGUUCUUUCUCUAGUUUUAAGUCCAGAAGAAACGGCGUCCUUUUAUUUUUUGCUUCCUUAUGCGUUGUUGCUGGGUCAUUCUCAGUCUUCCCCGUAUCAGUUCUUUAAUCUUUGAGGACUGGGACCCUGUAUUAAUUGCCUGGUAGGAAGAUGACACGAGCUUUGUGGCUUACAUUGGCCUCUGCUGUAAAAGCUUUUGUUUCCUUUGGCCUAUUAAAGCGCUGUUGUAAAAGCCUGCUGUGUAUGUUAGGAACCCAUCGAGAAGCAGAAUGUAGUAAUUUGCUUUAAAAUAGGCCAUGGAAGUUUCAGAAAGGUAGCCUCAGAAAUGCUCAAUGUAGAUUCGUUUGCAUGUCACGUUUCUUUUAGAUAAUCAGAGAAAGGAAAAGUAAUUUCCCCAAAGUUAGUAAAAUCAACACAUUUUCCUUUAAUAAUGUUCUUUUUUUCCUGUAAUCUUGGAGUACUAACAGAGUUGUUCUAAAUGUUUUAUUGGAAUGGUGCUGUGGAUAUCAAAAUAUAUAAUGAAACAAAUUUCCUUUAGAGUUUAGAUAGCACAUGUUAACUUGACUCUUUGAUUGUAUUUCUCCUAUAGUAAUGCUUCUCAAACUGGAGCAUGCAUCCAGAUUCUCUAGAAGGCUUGUUAAAACAGAUUGCUGGGCCUCAACACCAGAGGUUAUAACUGGGAGGGAAGGUCUGAGGAUACAGCUGGAUUAGUGUAGCUCUAGUAAAAUCUCAGGUGAUUCUGAUGCUGUUGGUACUAGGACCACACCUGGAAUAAUUUAGAGUUCAGGAUUGCUUUGUCAAUAAUGCUUUUUGCUGUUGCAGGACAGACGGUACUAAAAUAUACUGGUGAUACUAAGCCUGCACAAGUUAGUAGUCCUUUUGACUCCGUGGAUGGGAAGUAGUAAACUAAACCCUAGAACCAGUAGAGAGCUACAUAAAUGUUCACAGAUUAAAGCAACCAGUUCAUAGAAAUGUAUUCUGUAUAUGAUCAUGUGAUAGAGGGUGCUGUAAUACCAAGUAUACUAAAUAUUUCAGUUAUUAUACAGUAAUUGUUCUUUAGCUGUUAAAUUAGAAAUGACUAAAAUUAAGGACAAAAUAGUUUAAACAAUCAUACUAAUUUUACCCUUUGGAAGAUGCCAGGUUUUUUUCAGUCUUUUGCAUUUCCUCAAGUUCCCUUGUUUUACGGAAUUCUCUACCCCCAGCCCACUCCCAUCCCUACCGUGCCAUUUAUAAAUGUACACAGUGCUUACAUUAUAAAAAAUGAUCAUCUCAGAACUUGUCUCAUCUUUUCAGCAGGACUUUUCUCAAUUCUGUCAAAUUCUGACUGUGCCACUGCCUUUAUUGACACAGUAAUUAAAUCACGCAGUGAUUAAAGUGUGCUGCACACUGUAACUUUUGUGCUUGCUACAAAUAGAAAUACAGAUAUUGUUAGAUAAGUUUAUGUUUAUGAUAAUCAGUUCCUAAAAUGUAGAAAGCAGUCGGUUUUCUGGUCUCAGUUUUAUUUAAAUCACUGCUAUUUUGUUUACUGGAUGUAAGCUUCCCCCUCUCUGCUCUAGCCUGAAUGGGCCUUCGUGAAAAGAAGAAAAAAAAGAUUGAGAACAACUGUCUUAAAACCAUGGUAUUUCCCUAAUAGGCUAGUACCAUGUAUUUGGAUAAUUACUGAUGAAUCAUUUAAAUCAGGGAAAGGUGCAUGGUUUUGUUUUUUUGUUGUUUUUUCUCUUUUUUUUUUUUUUUUUUUUUGAGAUGGAGGCUUGCUCUGUCGCCCAGGCUGGAGUGCAGUGGCCAGAUUUCAGCUCACUGCAAUCUCUGCCUCCCGGGUUCAAGCGAUUCUCCUGCCUCAACCUCCUGAGUAGCUGGGACUACAGGCGUGUGCCACCACACCUGGCUAAUUUUUUUGUUUUAUUUAUUUAUUUAUUUAUUUGAGACGGGGUUUUGCUCUUGUUGCCCAGGCUGGGGUGCAAUGGUGCGAUCUCAGCUCAUCACAACCUCUGCUCCCAGGUUCAAGUGAGUCUUCUGCCUCAGCCUUCCUGAGUAGCUGGGAUUACAGGCAUGUGCCACCAUGCCUGGCUAAAAUUUUGUAUUUUCCUUAGUAGAGAUCAGUUUUCUCCAUGUUGGUCAGGCUGGUCUCGAAUUCCUGACCUCAGGUGAUCCACCCGCCUUGGCCUCUCAAAGUGCUGGGAUUACAGGUGUGAGCCACCGCGCCUGGCCUAAUUUUUUGUAUUUUUAGUAGAGACGGGGUUUCACCGUGUUAGCCAGGAUGAUCUCGAUCUCCUGACCUCGUGAUCCGCCUGCCUCGGCUUCCCAAAGUGCUGGGAUUACAGGCGUGAGCCACUGUGCCUGGCCCGAAAGGUGAAUGUUCUUUGCCUUAUUUUAAACUUUAUUGUAAUAAAUUCACUAAUGAAGCAGGCAGAGAAGAUGUAAAGGACACUUCAUUAGUAAUGCUAUAUUUCAUAUACCUGCUGUAUUUUGGGAGCAUUAUUGCUAUCAUUUGGUUUGUUGGAUCCCUCCAAAUCUCACGUUGAAAUUUGAUCCCCAGUGUUGGAGGUGGGGCUUAAUGGGAGAUGUUUUCAGACAUGGGGGUGGAUCCCUGACACAGGGCUUGAUGCCCUCCUAGUGAUAAUGAGUGAGUUUUCUAUUAGUUGCUGUCAGAGCUGGUUGUUAAGAGCCUGGCACCUCCCUCCUAUCGAUUUUCUUGCUGCUUUGUCUUGCUUCCUCGCUUACCAUGUGAUCUCUGCACAUGCUGGUUCUCCUUCACCUUCACCCACAAGUGGAAACAGCCUGAGGCCCUCACCAGAAAUAGCUGCUGGUACCAUGCUUCUUGUACAGCCUACAGAACUGUGAGCCAAGUAAACCUCUUUUCUUCAUAAAUUACCCAGCCUCAGAGGUUGGAAAAGUGAGGUCCAGAGAGGCUUAGCUGGCUGAGUGUGACUGAGAAGAAAAGGCUUGGGGCUGCAAACU
rnacentral:lncRNA from 10 species